rnacentral:other from 1 species
AUCGGUCGGCCGCGCGUUCGGCAAUCUAGUUCUACCUACUCCAUUCAACCCGGGAGCCGCCUCUGUCCGCGGGUGUGCAAGCCCGUUCGGCGGGAAGCCCGAUGCGGUUACCGUGGCACCCACCUGAGAAGGUAGGGGUUGAACUGGAAACGCCGGGCGCGCGUGCCGACCUUUU